rnacentral:rRNA from 1 species
GUUGAGCGCUGAAGGUUGGUACUUGUACCGACUGGAUGAGCAGCGAACGGGUGAGUAACGCGUGGGGAAUCUGCCUUUGAGCGGGGGACAACAUUUGGAAACGAAUGCUAAUACCGCAUAAAAACUUUAAACACAAGUUUUAAGUUUGAAAGAUGCAAUUGCAUCACUCAAAGAUGAUCCCGCGUUGUAUUAGCUAGUUGGUGAGGUAAAGGCUCACCAAGGCGAUGAUACAUAGCCGACCUGAGAGGGUGAUCGGCCACAUUGGGACUGAGACACGGCCCAAACUCCUACGGGAGGCAGCAGUAGGGAAUCUUCGGCAAUGGACGAAAGUCUGACCGAGCAACGCCGCGUGAGUGAAGAAGGUUUUCGGAUCGUAAAACUCUGUUGGUAGAGAAGAACGUUGGUGAGAGUGGAAAGCUCAUCAAGUGACGGUAACUACCCAGAAAGGGACGGCUAACUACGUGCCAGCAGCCGCGGUAAUACGUAGGUCCCGAGCGUUGUCCGGAUUUAUUGGGCGUAAAGCGAGCGCAGGUGGUUUAUUAAGUCUGGUGUAAAAGGCAGUGGCUCAACCAUUGUAUGCAUUGGAAACUGGUAGACUUGAGUGCAGGAGAGGAGAGUGGAAUUCCAUGUGUAGCGGUGAAAUGCGUAGAUAUAUGGAGGAACACCGGUGGCGAAAGCGGCUCUCUGGCCUGUAACUGACACUGAGGCUCGAAAGCGUGGGGAGCAAACAGGAUUAGAUACCCUGGUAGU